CAACAUGAAGGGCUCAGAGAGGGGAAGGAACUCGCUCAUGUGACUCGGGCAGCAGGCAACUGUGGGUAGCAGCCUACCAUCAUGGCUUUCCCAUCUGGCCACCUCCAUAGCAGCAGAGCUCUUGGAGAAGUUCAGAAGGCAGCCAGCUAAGGGGCGUGUCACAGCGUCACCUCUUCCCAGCUGCGUGACUUUAGGUGCUCUUCGUCCAUCAGCCCAGGCAACUAACGUGGCUGAUCAUAAUGGAAUGGCUCUAGUCCUCCUGCCUGUGGUGCCCCUCCUCCCACCGAGGACACUCUGCCCUCAUCUGGUCCUGAAAGGCCGCACUGUCCUCUGGAGAGAUGAGAUGGAGGGCUCAGCCCCAGAUAGGUCACAAAAGGAGUGGAACCCAAACCCGGCCUGAGGUGGAUGGUUGCGUGUUCCUACCCCACGCGGGCUGUGUGCCCUGCCCUGCUCCCAGAGCAACCCUAGCCCCACUGCUCAGGCUGGCUACCCUUGCUUUCCCGGGGACACUGAAGACACCUUGAGCUUGUCCACAUCCCAGCCCAUCUUCUCCGAUGAGUCCUCCACGAGAGCUAGUGCUCCUCGGUGCCAUUGGGCAAGGCAGGAUUUGGGAAACAGAGGCCCAGGAGCCAUCCCUCCAGGGACCUAGAAUUCCUCACCAAGCUGCAAGGGAAGAGGGGUCUCACCCGGC